UACGAAGGGGGCUAGCGUUGUUCGGAAUUAUUGGGCGUAAAGGGUGCGUAGGCGGUUCGGUAAGUUUUGUGUGAAAUCUUCGGGCUUAACUCGAAGUCUGCACAAGAUACUGCCAUGGCUAGAGUCCGGUAGGGGACCACGGAAUUCCUGGUGUAGCGGUGAAAUGCGCAGAUAUCAGGAGGAACACCGGUGGCGAAGGCGGUGGUCUGGGCCGGCACUGACGCUGGAGGAGCGAAAGCGUGGGUAGCAAACAGG
rnacentral:rRNA from 1 species